AACGAACGCUGGCGGCGUGCCUAACACAUGCAAGUCGAGCGCGAAAAGGGCAACCUGAGUAGAGCGGCGCACGGGUGCGUAACACGUGGGUAAUCUGCCUUAGAGUCGAGGAUAACCUUCCGAAAGGUUGGCCAAUACUCGGUAAGCUUACGGUGUCUUCGGACGCUGUGGGAAAAGUAUGCCUCUGUUUACAAGCUUACGCUCUGAGAUGAGCCCGCGGCCCAUCAGCUAGUUGGCGGUGUAACGGACCACCAAGGCAACGACGGGUAGCUGGUCUGAGAGGACGAUCAGCCACAGUGGAGCUGAGACACGGUCCAGACUCCUACGGGAGGCAGCAGUGGGGAAUUUUCCACAAUGGGCGAAAGGCUGAUGGAGCAACGCAGCGUGUGUGAUGAAGGUUUUCGGAUCGUAAAGCACUUUCGACCGGGACUAAAAACCUCUGGCUAACAUCCAGGGGCCUGACGGUACCGGGAGAAGAAGCACCGGCUAACUCUGUGCCAGCCGCCGCCGUAA
rnacentral:rRNA from 1 species